UUUUUCUUUUCUUUUCUUUGUUUAGAAUUUUUUUGUAGUUGCUCUGUAAAAGUGGUAGCUCUGGGUUUUCAUUGUGACUUUUAGUCUGCAUUACAAGAAAUUCAAGAAAAGUGAGGAUUAAAUUGGUUGCCAGAAGCUCUCUUAUUAUAAUGUUGCUUUUCCUGUAGGUCUUCCUGUUGUGUCUAAGAGCUCUUUAGCUAUAUAUAUGUGUAAUAGGAAUUAAAUAUCAAAGGCUAUUCUGCAGCAUUGAGGCUCUUGGCUGCAAAGCUGCCCACUUUGUUGAACGUUUUUGCCUUCAAAAUGUGAUGUGGAGAGCGCCUCUUGGGAGUGGCCCAUAGCCUAUGUAAAUACUUGGUCCUUCCCAGGGAGUUGGCUAAGAGAAUGCUGGAUAAACUGGGCCAGAACAUGAGAUACCCUCUGCUUGGCACAUUUCUAAUUCAUGGGGAUCGAGGACAAAUUGCUUUAUUCUAGAUGUUGAAGUUUCAAGAAAUACACCAGAAGCUUUGAGUCUUAUGAAGAAGGGUCUGACAACACAGAUGUGAUGAUUGCUGACCUACCGUUAGGGGCCAACCUGUAGAUCUGAUGGCCUGUGCACUGCAUUGCUGUGAAACAUCUUGUAAGUCCUUUUGUUUUCCAAGGGCUACGCCAAGAGCUACAGAGCUUACUUCUGAAAGCCUAUGCAGAUAACUCACAUUUGAAACCUGACAGCAUUGCCACUCCCCAUUGCAGACUGAAUCCAGUUGCAUUCCUAAGGCCACAGCUGUAAAGCAAGUUUGUGGUUUUAUUUCUGUUCUUUUCAAGCCAUAUUUUUAGUGUUCCCUAUAAUAAAUCUUCGUGUUUUGAUUAUGUGUAAAAAGACAGUGACUAGAGACAGAACACAGUGCUACCAAAAUAAACUCACUUAAUGCACAACGGUCCUGCCACAAGCACGGACUCCUCUCUUUGCCUAAACUUAAUCUCAUUUGAAGUGGUGCAGGCAGAAACAUGGGCAGAAAAGAAGAGUCCUAUCCCAGUGAAAACUGUUUUUAAAAGAAGAGCACAAAUAUAAAUGCUGGCAAAAAGUGCAGUGAGGGGUUGCCCAGCAAUUCUGCAGACUACUUGUGCCAUUUAGGGAAUACGUUCUGAAUUAGCAUGAAGGCAAAGCUGGAUGCACCGAGCUCUUUAACAUGGCAAGUUGGCCACCAUUUCCUAAGGCUGAAAGUAGCAAUUUGCCUUCAGGGAAAAUGAGUCUCUGAGGGCCACCACUGUUGAGAUGCAGCUGUGUGGCACGGCCCCAUGCUGUUGUGGCAGGAAUGAGGAUCUUGCAGCAUGAUGGGGACAGAUGGAGCACAGUGGUAGCUAAUGCCACUGCUCAGCAUGUGCUGGCCAGGUUGUAGCAUGCUGGGAGCAGGGUGGGUGGCUUGGACACCCCAGCACAUCCCUGUGAAGGAAGGGAGAGUCAUGUACCUGAUUCCAUGCUGCUUCCACACAGUGCUGGAUGGUAACUGCAGAAACCAUGCAAGUAUCUGGCAGUACUGAAUUAUGUAGACACAUCUCCAGCAUAUCCAAGUUCUUCCAGAGAAGUAUCGGUCAGCUGCCAGCACUGCUUCAGCCUUGAGCACUUCCAAGAUGUGCACUGUACACAUCUAUAUUGCCUUUGCCAAAGAUGUAGUUGGUAUUAUGUUGUGACCUGAACAGUUUAUGCAUCACAAACCCCACAUGCAGGUUGUCUGUGACUCAGCUGUCUGU
ensembl:lncRNA